rnacentral:misc_RNA from 1 species
GGACAUACCUCUUGAUAAGGUGUUAGCAAGGCAACAGAUUGAACUACUUACUGCUCAGGCCUGGUUGACUGAAAAUAAGGACCUUGAACAGAAGAUAGCACAAACAAGUAUACAGAAAGGCGUUAUUUCUGAGUAUACACGCAUGAUAUUGAUAGAGACUGAUAAAGGCAAAGUAAUCACUGAAUCAACCACCAACACCAAGCGAAAGGUUUCCACUGCUCCUACGAAGAUUGAAGAGCCUAAAAUACAGAAGGAGACAUUGCUACAGAAUCUGGGGGCUGGUUUUGGUAACUACAGUGCUACAAAUGAAAAUAUUUCUCCUGGAACCACCGAGACAAAACCUGAGACAGCCGAGUUUCUAGCGAAGGCAGCAUCUAAUUGUUGUGGAAAGACAUGUGAAAUAUGCUGUUGUAUGUGCUGUAUACGGACAUGUUCGAAAAUGAAUGAUCAAUGUGCAAUCGUGCUGACACAGUUCCUGGGUUCCUUGGCAUGCUUAGGUUGCUUCGCUUGCUGUGAAUUAUGCUGUUCCGUUAAUGAUGGAUGAGAAAGUUAUUGCAUAGCUUCCUUGCAAUCUUGUUGUAUACAGUUUCUUACAUAGUACAAGGUUUACAUUUUGUGUAUCAUGGUUUCUUGUGAAUAGUAUGUAUUUAUAUACAUACAAGUUUUACCAAUUGCUUUACUGUAAUGAUGUAGAAAUAUAACAUUUGC